GGACUACACGGGUAUCUAAUCCUGUUUGCUCCCCACGCUUUCGCGUCUCAGCGUCAGUCACCGUCCAGAAGGCCGCCUUCGCCGCUGGUAUUCCUCCCGAUAUCUACGGAUUUCACCCCUACACCGGGAAUUCUGCCUUCCUCUCCGGGACUCUAGCCAGGCAGUUUCAGAUGCAGUUCCGGGGUUGGGCCCCGGGCUUUCACAACUGACUUGCCAAGCCGCCUACACGCGCUUUACGCCCAAUGAUUCCGAACAACGCUUGCACCCUCCGUAUUACCGCGGCUGCUGGCAC
rnacentral:rRNA from 1 species